UACGUAGGGGGCAAGCGUUGUCCGGAAUCAUUGGGCGUAAAGAGCGUGUAGGCGGCCAGAUAAGUCCGCUGUGAAAUCUCGAGGCUCAACUUCGCGCUGUCGGUGGAAACUGUCUGGCUAGAGUCCGGAAGAGGAGAAUGGAAUUCCUGGUGUAGCGGUGAAAUGCGCAGAUAUCAGGAAGAACACCCGUGGCGAAGGCGGUUCUCUGGGACGGUACUGACGCUGAGACGCGAAAGCGUGGGGAGCGAACAGG
rnacentral:rRNA from 1 species